rnacentral:rRNA from 1 species
UACGUAGGUGACCAGCGUUGUCCGGAUUUACUGGGCGUAAAGAGCGCGCAGGCGGUCGAUCAAGUCGAGUGUGAAAGCCCCCGGCUCAACUGGGGAGGGUCAUUCGAUACUGAUCGACUCGAAGGCAGGAGAGGGUAGUGGAAUUCCCGGUGUAGUGGUGAAGUGCGUAGAUAUCGGGAGGAACACCAGUGGCGAAGGCGACUACCUGGCCUGUUCUUGACGCUGAGGCGCGAAAGCUAGGGGAGCAAACAGG